GACGAACGCUGGCGGAAUGCUUUACACAUGCAAGUCGAGCGGCAGCGCGGUCUUCGGACUGGCGGCGAGCGGCGAACGGGUGAGUAAUGCAUCGGAACGUGCCCAGUCGUGGGGGAUAACGCAGCGAAAGCUGUGCUAAUACCGCAUACGAUCUGUGGAUGAAAGCGGGGGACCGAAAGGCCUCGCGCGAUUGGAGCGGCCGAUGUCAGAUUAGGUAGUUGGUGGGGUAAAGGCUCACCAAGCCAACGAUCUGUAGCUGGUCUGAGAGGACGACCAGCCACACUGGGACUGAGACACGGCCCAGACUCCUACGGGAGGCAGCAGUGGGGAAUUUUGGACAAUGGGGGCAACCCUGAUCCAGCCAUGCCGCGUGAGUGAAGAAGGCCUUCGGGUUGUAAAGCUCUUUCGGCCGGGAAGAAAUCGCAUGGGUUAAUACCCUGUGCGGAUGACGGUACCGGCAUAAGAAGCACCGGCUAACUACGUGCCAGCAGCCGCAGUAA
rnacentral:rRNA from 1 species